rnacentral:rRNA from 1 species
CCGUUGCGCUAUUGGAUGAGCCUAUGUCGGAUUAGUUAGUUGGUGGGGUAAAGGCCUACCAAGGCGACGAUCCGUAGCUGGUCUUAGAGGAUGAUCAGCCACAUCGGGACUGAGACACGGCCCGAACUCCUACGGGAGGCAGCAGUGGGGAAUAUUGCACAAUGGGCGCAAGCCUGAUGCAGCUAUGCCGCGUGUGUGAAGAAGGCCUUAGGGUUGUAAAGCACUUUCAGUAGUGAGGAAAAGUGUUGCGUUAAUAGCGCAAUGCUGUGACGUUAGCUACAGAAGAAGGACCGGCAAACUCCGUG